rnacentral:rRNA from 1 species
AAACCCUGCACUUACAAGCUGUGGAAGCACAUUUCUUGUGUGACCGCGUACUUUUUGUAGAACGGGCCAACGAGUUACGUUAAGUAGCAAGGUUAAGCACUUAAGGUGCGGAGCCGUAGCGAAAGCGCGUUUUAACUGAGCGUUCAGUUACUUGACGUAGACCCGAAACCGGGCGACCUACCCAUGAGCAGGAUGAAGCGAAAG